rnacentral:rRNA from 1 species
UGCGUAGGCGGCGCGGUAAGUCGGGUGUGAAAUCUCGGAGCUUAACUCCGAAACUGCAUUCGAUACUGCCGUGCUUGAGGACUGGAGAGGAGACUGGAAUUUACGGUGUAGCGGUGAAAUGCGUAGAUAUCGUAAGGAAGACCAGUGGCGAAGGCGGGUCUCUGGACAGUUCCUGACGCUGAGGCACGAAGGGUCAGGGGAGGCGAACG